rnacentral:rRNA from 1 species
GAUGAACGCUAGCGGGAGGCCUAACACAUGCAAGCCGAGCGGUAUUGUUUCUUCGGAAAUGAGAGAGCGGCGUACGGGUGCGUAACACGUGUGCAGCCUGCCUUUAUCUGGGGGAUAGCCUUUCGAAAGGAAGAUUAAUACUCCAUAAUAUAUUGAACGGCAUCGUUUAAUAUUGAAAGCUCCGGCGGAUAGAGAUGGGCACGCGCAAGAUUAGCUAGUUGGUGAGGUAACGGCUCACCAAGGCGAUGAUCUUUAGGGGGCCUGAGAGGGUGAUCCCCCACACUGGUACUGAGACACGGACCAGACUCCUACGGGAGGCAGCAGUGAGGAAUAUUGAUCAAUGGGUGCAAGCCUGAACCAGCCAUCCCGUGUGAAGGACGACUGCCCUAUGGGUUGUAAACUUCUUUUGUAUAGGGAUAAACCUACCCUCGAGAGGGUAGCUGAAGGUACUAUACGAAUAAGCACCGGCUAACUCCGUG